UACAUGGGGUGCAAACGUUGCUCGGAAUUAUUGGGGGUAAAGCGCACGUAGGCGGUUUGUUAAGUCGGAUGUGAAAUCCCUCGGCUCAACUGAGGAAGUGCAUCCGAAACUGGCAAGCUUGAGUACGAAAGAGGGUCGCGGAAUUCCCGGUGUAGAGGUGAAAUUCGUAGAUAUCGGGAGGAACACCGGUGGCGAAGGCGGCGACCUGGGUCGAUACUGACGCUGAGGUGCGAAAGCGUGGGGAGCAAACAGG
rnacentral:rRNA from 1 species